rnacentral:tRNA from 1 species
GCAGAUAUGGCCGAGUGGUUAAGGCGUCUGACUUGAAAUCAGAUUCCCUCUGGGAGCGCAAGUUCAAAUCUUGCUAUCUGCG